rnacentral:misc_RNA from 1 species
UGUUAUUAUACUGAUAUUUGUGGAUUAUGAGGUUGGGUAGAGCUCUCUUUAUUAUAUUAUACUGAACACCUGAUAUAUCUAAGUAUAUAUUGUGAUGUGUGUUGUAUUGAGUGUGAACUUAGCCUUAUUACAUGUGGCUUGAUAUUUUUUAGGUUGGGUGCAUUUUACUUUCCAUUAAGAUGCUCAAUUUAUAAUCGAACUUUGUUUGUUUUUCUUCGUAGAAUUGAGUCUCCCUAAUGAGUGGUAGUAUGAUGAGGUUUACCUUAGAUUUUGAAGAUUUUAUUUUGAUAAAAAUCUAAUGCGACCUACAAAAUCAGAUCUUGACAUAUUUAUUUAAUUUUUAAUUAUCCAAAAUUUUCAUUUUCUCUUGUUAUUUUAUUUUAUUAUUUUUUUUUAUCACAAGAUUGCGAUUUUAGAUCGGAUCUUUGUUAUGAAAAGGAAGCAACAAUGAGAUGUUGGUUUGAUCAGAGUCUGUUAAUAUGAGAAGGUUGAUAUCCAGCAAAACGAUCUCCACCGCAUCUUAUCUUAUGCUGCUACUCUAUAUGCUUAUGGAAAUUCCAAUAGCGAAGUGCAAAGUAUUUAACCUCUGUCAAUAUUUUUUUUUUUUUUAAAUCACAAGGCAACUGUUUGUAAGAAAGGGGCUCAAAUUGA